rnacentral:rRNA from 1 species
GACUUUAUGUUUUAAUUAAGAUUAUCAGAAAUUUAUUUUUUAGUUAUGAUUGGGGUGAUUUUUAAAGAUUAUUAAUCUUUAAAAUUUUUUAAUAAAAAAGUUCCAUUAGUAGUGAUUUUUUGAUAAAAAUACUCUAGGGAUAACAGCGUUAUUAUUUUGGAUAGUUCAUAUAGAUAAAAUAGUUUGCGACCUCGAUGUUGGAUUAGAGAUCGGAUUCUUUUAUGACUGAAGAAGUUAUAAGGGAGAAGUUUGCUCAACUUUUAAAGUCCUACUUGAUCUGAGUUCAGACCGGA